GACGGAGGAUGCAAGCGUUAUCCGGAAUGAUUGGGCGUAAAGCGUUCGCAGGUGGCUGUUCAAGUCUGCUGUCAAAGACCGGGGCUUAACCCUAGAAAGGCAGUGGAAACUGAACGGCUGGGGUGCAGUAGGGGUAGAGGGAAUUCCCAGUGUAGCGGUGAAAUGCGUAGAGAAUGGGAAGAACACCGGUGGCGAAAGCGGUCUGCUGGACUGCAACUGUCACUGAGGGAGGAAAGCUAGAGGAGCGAAAGGG
rnacentral:rRNA from 1 species